UGCUGCUUUGCUUCCUUGGAUGCUAAACAUGUCACUGAACAUGUCACCCCAUUAGCUUUUACAGUCUUCUGAACGCAAUGCCCUGGAUUGAUAUAAUGCAAAUAUGAGUUCUAACCUAAAUCUCCCAUGUAGACUAGAAUAUUGAUGAGUAAAAUAGCAUUCAGUAUGUUUUACAUGUUUUGUCAAGUCCAGUUCAGCCUUCCAGACUUUAAAGUCAAUAGAAGACUAUCUAGCAAGUGGAAAAUGUAAUGUAAGGAAAGUAAAAACCAUGACAAAGGGAAAAGAUUGUGCUGAAAGAAAUAUAAUUUCGGUCCUUUCACGAAAAAAAACAUUAUAUUAACUUCGCAUCUAUCACAGAAUACAUUUCUAAGACCCCCAUUAUUCCUACAAACAUCAACAAACAUGUCCUACUUUUGAACAUGUCCUGUCCAUGCUUCCAGGAAACUUUCACUUACAAGAUCAUGACUUGACAAGAGGGUGGACUUAUCUUGUGAACACAAACAAAAGAUCCUGAAGGCACCAUCAAUCUGUUUAUUGUGCUUGACAACCUAAUUGUCAAGUACACACACACACAUACACACACACACACAGGGUUCCCAGUGUCUGUCACACUCCACAUCCUCUUUUCUUUGAGGAUAGGGCCUGUGUGCUCAUGUGUCUCAGCUGCAGGCUCGCAGUGACCUCAGUGGGUUUUGUAUUGCUGCUUUGCCAGCAUUCAGUGAUGCCAGUUUACAAGGCUGCUGUGUGAUUCCCUCAACUGCCAAGUUUUCAUAGUGAAAGACCAAGCAGUUAAUGCAGCACAGUUUCAGCUAUUCAUCGGCACUUGUUGAGAAACUCGGCUCUAUUGAGGCAUACAUCUCUGUCUCUAUGUUCAACCAAAACCACAUGUCUGACAAUGUUGCUUUUCGCCAUGGUAACUGAAGAGUAAAGGCUUUAAAAGAUCAUCAGGGUCUGAAGCUUUUACAUCUGCUAAAUGGGAGUUAAUGCAGUGUCAAAUGAAUGGACAAACCCCUACACGAUGACGUCCAUAUGUGACCUGGGCUUGAUCAAUAAUUAUUGGAUAUUUUUAACAACCUUUUACUUUCUUUACAUGUGGUAUACAGACAUUUAAAAUAGGGCAGACAAGCUCAGAGGACUGUGGUUUGGGUACAGGAUUGCACUUGUGCUUGCUUCCAGGUCAUGUUCAGUCUUGUCAGAUUCUGGCUGAUCUGUGUUUCACCGAGAGUCUGAGGCACAAUGAAAAUGCAGAGAGUCGUUCACUGGAACAAAGGUUAAAGCAAAAACAUCCCCAAUAUAGAACUAACAGCCAAUAGCUGUUGUUUUUCUAAAACUUCAUUUCACUUCCUCAUGUAGUUUCCUCUAAAUAGAAAGGUUGAUCAGUGAAUGUACAAGAAAAGCACUGUGGUCCACCACAGGUAAGAGAACAGCUUUGGUGCAACUCUUCGGACGCUGUCUGACUCUGAGCUUCAAUUGCGUCAUUCGCCUCACUUGUAUUGUCCCUAUGUGCAAGUGGAGUAAAUGUGCUCAUUGUGAGUAGAUCUCAUCUGCUUUUCAUGACAUUGUUCUUAAUCUUAUCAAUAGAAUUGCUUGUUUUUGAAGUGUUGAAGCUUGAAGUGUUGCCACUGUCUUAAUUAUUUUCCUGAUCUGUGACAGAAUGCUUUUUUUUCCAUACAUAUAACCAUGAAAAACUAUUCACCUGACUUGUGCAUUGUAAUGCUCUAUCUACCACGCAUUAGGACAUUUGUUGUGACAUAUUGUUAAGGAUGUAUGUCACCCCUUCAUGCACACAUUCCCAAGUUUAAGAUGUGGACAUGGCAUUUUGUUCUUACUGAGAGUAAAAGAUUCCCUCAAUGUAAAGAUUCACUCAUGGCUUCCUUGUUGCAGGUUGUAGCUGGUUCUCAUUCAUGAAAGACAAAGACACUAUCAGUUUGUGCUACCCCCCCCCCCCCCCGCUCUUCCUCUUAACUUUACAGCUUCCUUACUGUUUAUGGUGUUUCAUGUGAGGCUGACGAGAGCUGGAUGCUGCUGUCCUGUCCAGCUCCAUGAGUGAAAGGGAGAAUGGUUGUGAACUUUUUAGGCAAUGUUGUAAAAAUGCUCAGAGUGGUGAUGCUUUUUUAUCACAGCAUGAUAGAGGCAUUGAAGAUGACUCCACAUUUUUUGACAAUGCAACAGGUGUGUAUGUGUGUAUAUGUGUGUGUUUUUAUGUGUGUGUGUGUGUGUGUGUUCUUUUUCAGCUUCACUUUUCAGCUUUUAUGGCACAUAGCAUCCGCUGCAGUUGCUAUUUGAGGGACAAACACAAGACAAUGACUCACACACUGCACACAAUGAUAUUAGCAACUAGAGGAAAUUGAGUUUCUACUGACAGCAGUUCAUGUUGUUUCUGCUGAGCCUCAAGCCAAUUGUCGCCUCCUCUCAUUUAAAUUACUACAUGCAUGUUGGUAUCUUCAAUGACAGCAGGACAGCGAAAUGAAAAUCCUCCUCUUUGUUUUUUGGGUUUUUAUCUCGACAUUCCUGCCCUUGCCUACUCUGGAGCUCCUUUAUUGAUCCUGAACAUCUUCCUGCAGCUCGGCAAAAAGGCACCGACUGUUUGAAGAGAUAUCUACAGUGUGUGCUUUGACAAGAUCUUCCAGGUAUCUUCAUUCAGACUGAGUAGAGUACAUACAGCGAAGGUCCCUGACCAAAUAAAGAGAGGAUAAACUGUUCAUACAGCAGGUUUUGUUUCAGGUAUUUACAGUUGGUUUAUGAUCGUAACUUUAAGUUAUGACAACCAAGGAGCUUUAUCGAUAAAAUUGUUGAAUAUGAGAUGAGAAAAGACACUUGUUUGCCUGUACAUGGACUUUGUCUCUGCUCCUGUAUUUCCUUGUUGUUGGCUGACAGUUUUUUAAUCCAUUUCCUCCUUAAAGGUGUUAAAUUCUUGUCGGAAAUCAGCUUUAAAUUCUUUCUUGGAUGUCGCAAGGUCGACUUCUAUUUCUUGUUUGAGGUCUCUUAUUUCUCUCGUUAUGUUUGUUAGCACCUCGUGCAGCAUUUCGGUAUCAGCACUUAGCAUGCUGUCGGCGGAGUUUUCAUCCAUACAAAGUUCUUUACUUGUGCCAGCUUGGAGUUUUCGUGUCUGUUGUGUGUUCCGCUUACUUCUCCCGCUCAUUACUCAGAAUAUUUAUCUACGAAUUUUACAUUUUUAUCCGCGGGGAAGUCGAUUUUCCCCCAAAGUGGCAGGAGCUCACGUUUCAAGCUGCCAUUGGCUUCGUUGCUCAACCGGAAGUACAUAGGCUUUUUCAACACUGAUCAUCCUCAAAUUUUCAGGAACAAAGCAUUGAGGGGUUAUGACCUCUGGUACAUGUCUGUAAGUGAAUACAGACAUGCAUUGCAGCUCUUCUCGCACCAAGUGUCUUAUUUUUAUGCCUGCGUUGUCUCUUUUUAUUUUGGUAACCUCAGCUGUGGAUCUGUCGUCUUUGGGGGUUCAGCUGGGGGAAAAUGAAGAGCUUUGUCUGGUUUGUUGUGGCUGUAUGAAAGUUCAUUCCACAACGUUGUUUUGUUUAGAGAACUGCUCCAAAGCAAACUGCUCUCAUUAGCAGUGCAGCCCAUCAUUACGGCAGCUUUCUAUGAAAGUCUGGCCAAAAUGAACCUGGACCUUGGGGCAAACAGCGAUGGGGAUUUCUAGAUUUUGGAAAUUUAGGAGUUCAGGUAUGAGUAAGCAAAAACUCAUUCUUGGUCUGGAUAUUUUUGUCUCACUCUCACACUAUCCCCAGUGAGUCACAUGAAGGGCUUGAUUACAUUCUGGCCUUUUACAGUGUUGGCAUACUUGUUUUAUGUGUCUGUGAAAACAUUGCCACGGUUUAAUCAAAAUUUCGUCUUUUGUUUUAAAGUUUGAACUUGAGCCGUGUAUUUUUAGAUAAGGGAUGUCUCCAAACUUUAAGUUUAAUGC